rnacentral:misc_RNA from 1 species
GAUAAGAACGCAGCGAAAUGCGAUAAGUAAUGUGAAUUGCAGAAUUCAGUGAAUCAUCGAAUCUUUGAACGCACAUUGCGCCCGCCAGAAUACUGGCGGGCAUGCCUGUUCGAGCGUCAUUUCAACCAUCAAGCCCCCGGCUUGUGUUGGGGACCUGCGGCUGCCGCAGGCCCUGAAAAGCAGUGGCGGGCUCGCUGUCACACCGAGCGUAGUAGCAUACAUCUCGCUCUGGGCGUGCUGCGGGUUCCGGCCGUUAAACCACCUUCAUAACCCAAGGUUGACCUCGGAUCAGGUAGGAAGACCCGCUGAACUUAAGCAUAUCAAUAAGCGGAGGA